rnacentral:rRNA from 1 species
GACGAACGCUGGCGGCGUGCCUAAUACAUGCAAGUCGAACGCAGUGGGGACGGGUGAGUAACACGUGGGUAACCUCCCAUCAGAGGGGAUAACACUUGGAAACAGGUGCUAAACCGAUACUGAUGGAUGGACCCGCGGUGCAUUAGCUAGUUGGUGAGGUAACGGCUCACCAAGGCCACGAUGCAUAGGCGAACUGGGGGGGGGAUGGGCCACAAGGGGACUGGGAACCGGCCCAAACUCCUACGGGAGGGAGGAGUAGGGAAUCGUCGGCAAUGGACGAAAGUCUGACCGGGCAACGCCGGGUGAGUUAAGAAGGUUUUCGGAUCGUAAAACUCUGUUGUUAGAGAAGCGGUAUCUAACCAGAAAGCCACGGCUAACUACGUGCCAGCAGCCGCGGUAAUA